CGGCCGCUGGCGUGCGUGCGUGCGUGCGUCCAUGCGUGCGCGCCACCGCCAUCGCCAUCGCCGUCGCCAUCGCCAUCGCCUUCCUGGUUUGGACAGCUCUACCGGCUCCUCCCGCACGGCGGCGACGGGGCAGGAAUGUUAUAACUGCCAGAAUCAUGGCCUCCCAGUUUUGCAGAUGAGGAAACUGAAGCCUAGAGGGAGUAAAUGACUUGCAAAAUCCAUAAAGCGGGCUGGGCGCGGUGGCCCACGGCUGUAAUCCCAGCACUUUGGGAGGUGGAGGCGAGUGGAUCACGAGGUCAAGAGAUCGAGACCAUCCUGGCCAACAUGGUGAAACCCUGUCUCUACUAAAAAUGCAAAAAUUAGCUGGGGGUGGUGGCGCGCGCCUGUAGUCCCAGCUACUCGGGAGGCUGAGGCAGGAGAAUCGCUUGAACCCGGGAGGCGGAGGUUGCAGUGAGCCGAGAUCACACCACUGCACUCCAGCCUGGCGACAGAGCGAGACUCCAUCUCAACAGAAAAAAAAAAAAAAAAAAGCCGGGCGUGGUGGCUCAUCCCUGUAAUCCCAGCACUUUGGAAGGCUGAGUUGGCUGGAUCACCUGACGUCAGGAGUUCCAGACCAGCCUUGGCCAACAUGAUGAAACCCCAUCUCUACUAAAAAUACAAAAAAUUAACGUGGUGUGGUGGCGGGUGCCUGUAAUCCCAGCUACUUGGGAGGCUGAGGCAGGAGAAUCGCUUGAACACGGGAGGCGGAGGUUGCAGUGAGCCAAGGUCACACCAUUGCACUCCAGUCUGGGCAACAAGAAUGAGACUCUGUCUCAAAAAAAAAAAAAAAAAAAAAAAUCCAUAAAGCGGCUGGGCGCGGUGGCUCACGUCUGUAAUCCCAGCACUUUGGGAGGCCGAGGCGGUAGAAUCGCUUGAGCCCAGGAGUUCGAGACCAGGCUGGGCAACAAAGCAAGACACUAUCUCUACAAAAAAUAAAAUAGCCGAAUAUUGUGGUGUGCUCCUGUAGUUCCGGCUACUCAGGAGCCUGAAGCAGAAGGAUUGCUUGAGUCCAGGAGUUGGAGGCUGAGGUAUGGCACCACUACACUGAAAUCUGGGCGACAGAACAAGUCCCUGUCUUAAAAAAAAAAAAAAUUUCUAAGUGAAUAAUAAAAAAUAUGUCCUUA